AGAGUUUGAUCAUGGCUCAGAUUGAACGUUGGCGGCAGGCCUCAUACAUGCAAGUCGGACGGUAACAGCGGAGCUUGCUCCGGCUGACGAGUGGCGGACGGGUGAGUAACGCGUAGGAAUCUGCCCAGUAGUGGGGGACAGCCCGAAGAAACUCGGAUUAAUACCGCAUACGCCCUACGGGGGAAAGGGGGCCUUUGGCUCUCGCUAUUGGAGGAGCCUGCGUUGGAUUAGCUAGUUGGUGGGGUAACGGCCCACCAAGGCGACGAUCCAUAGCUGGUCUGAGAGGACGAUCAGCCACACUGGGACUGAGACACGGCCCAGACUCCUACGGGGGGCAGCAGUAAGGAAUCUUGUGCAAUGGGGGAAACCCUGACACAGCCAUGCCGCGUGUGUGAAGAAGGCCUUAGGGUUGUAAAGCACUUUCAGUAGAGACGAAUUAGCGGGGUUAAUAGCCCCGUGAAAUGACUUAACCUACAGAAGAAGAUCCGGCUAACUCCGUGCCAGCAGCCGCGGUAAUACGGAGGGAUCGAACGUUAAUCGGAAUUACUGGGCGUAAAGCGCGCGUAGUGGUUCAUUAAGUGGGAUGUGAAAGCCCUGGGCUUACCCUGGAACUGCAUUCCAAACUGGCGACUAGAGUACGAUAGAGGGGGGGUAGAUUCACAGUGUAGCGUGAAUGCGUAGAUAUGUGAGGGAUACCAGUGGCGAAGCGCCCCUGGAUGAUACUGACACUCAGUGUGCGAAAGCGUGGGGAGCAAACAGGAUUAGAUACCCUGGUAGUCACGCCGUAAACGAUGUCUACUAGCCGUUGGGAGGCUUGUCCUCUUAGUGGCGCAGCUAACGCGAUAAGUAGACCGCCUGGGGAGUACGGUCGCAAGAUUAAAACUCAAAUGAAUUGACGGGGGCCCGCACAAGCGGUGGAGCAUGUGGUUUAAUUCGAUGCAACGCGAAAAACCUUACCAGGCCUUGACAUCCUGAGAACUUUCUAGAGAUAGAUUGGUGCCUUCGGGAACUCAGUGACAGGUGUUGCAUGGCUGUCGUCAGCUCGUGUCGUGAGAUGUUGGGUUAAGUCCCGUAACGAGCGCAACCCUUAUCCUUAGUUGCCAGCACAUAAUGGUGGGAACUUUAAGGAGACUGCCGGUGACAAACCGGAGGAAGGAGAGGAUGAUGUCAAGUCAUCAUGGCCCUUACGGCCUGGGCUACACACGUGCUACAAUGGGGAGUACAGAGGGCCGCAAAGCCGCGAGGUGGAGCAAAUCCCAAAAAACUCUUCGUAGUCCGGAUCGGAGUCUGCAACUCGACUCCGUGAAGUCGGAAUCGCUAGUAAUCGCGAAUCAGCAUGUCGCGGUGAAUACGUUCCCGGGCCUUGUACACACCGCCCGUCACAUCAUGGGAGUGGGCUGCAAAAGAAGUGGCUAGUCUAACCUUCGGGAGGACGGUCACCACUUUGUGGUUCAUGACUGGGAUGAAGUCGUAACAAGGUAACCGUA
rnacentral:rRNA from 1 species